UUUUAUCAAGUUGCUACAAGGUUGUCACUCACAACUUGUUGACAAAUUGUUGAAUUGCAGGACGAUAACAAGUUGUUAGAACAACUUGUAACAAGACUAUUGAGCUCAACAACCUUGUAGCAAGUUGUCAACAAGCCGUUGACAACUUGUCAACAAGCUUGGAACAAGCAGUGCUAACAUAUCCUGUUGACAAGUUGUUGGAACAACAUUGCUACAAGUCUGCUGCAGGUUUGUUACAACUUGUGCGUUUUUACGUGUGUAGCCCGUCUCACAGACCUUAUAAUUAGUAAUGACGCAUUUCACGCAUUUUUUGAAUAAGUAUAAAAAUGUAUGUGUCGAGACUGGUGAUUCGUUAGUACAAACUUCAAAAAGG